rnacentral:rRNA from 1 species
UACGUAGGGUGCGAGCGUUAAUCGGAUUUACUGGGCGUAAAGCGUGCGCAGGCGGCCCGUUAAGACAGGUGUGAAAUCCCUGGGCUCAACCUAGGAAUUGCGCUUGUGACUGGCGGGCUCGAGUACGGUAGAGGGGGGUGGAAUUCCUGGUGUAGCAGUGAAAUGCGUAGAGAUCAGGAGGAACACCGAUGGCGAAGGCAGCCCCCUGGGCCUGUACUGACGCUCAUGCCCGCAAGCGUGGGGAGCAAACAGG